rnacentral:rRNA from 1 species
GCAAGUCGAGCGACGAUUACGAGGUAGCAAUAUUUCGUAGUUGGAGCGGCGCAAGGGUGCGUAACACGUGGGUAAUCUGCCAUGAAGUUUGGGAUAACUUGCUGAAAGGCGAGCUAAUACCGGAUGUGACAACUGAGAGGCAUCUUUUGGUUGUUAAAGUUGGGGACCGCAAGGCCUGACGCUUCAUGAUGAGCCCGCGGCCUAUCAGCUAGUUGGUGAGGUAACGGCUCACAAAGGCUAAGACGGGUAGCUGGUCUGAGAGGACGACCAGCCACACUGGAACUGAGACACGGUCCAGACACCUACGGGUGGCAGCAGUCGAGAAUUUUUCACAAUGGGCGCAAGCCUGAUGGAGCGACGCCGCGUGGGGGAUGAAUGGCUUCGGCCCGUAAACCCCUGUCAUUUGCGAUCAAACCUCGGUAUUUAAAAGAUGCCGAGCUGAUAGUAGCGAAAGAGGAAGGGACGGCUAACUCUGUGCCAGCAGCCGCGGUAAUACAGAGGUCCCGAGCGUUGUUCGGAUUCACUGGGCGUAAAGGGUGCGUAGGUGGUGGGAUAAGUCGGAUGUGAAAUCUCGGAGCUUAACUCCGAAACUGCAUUGGAAACUGUCCUGCUAGAGGGUUGGAGGGGGG